GUCUCCACUCUGAGACAUCCUCUCCUUCUAAACAAGAUUGUGUGCCCUACCAAGAUCCAAUGAUGCAGGAAUGCUUCCUUUUAUUUCCUCAUACCAAGACACACUACACAGCAGCACAAACACACACCUGAGUAAUAUGUUUCUGAGUUCAGAAAGGAAAGUGUAUAUCUAGGGAUGACUGACCUUUUAAUUUGGCACCGCUGGGCAUUUUUUAUUCAAGACAUUGCUUGUCUAGUCAUGACAUUACCGAUGAGCCAACACAGCUAAGUCAUGGGGUUCAAGGCAGUGAAAAUGUUGCUGCGGCUUUUAAAUUAACUCCAAAUGCACUCUAAACUCACAUUUGAAACUAAUUGCUUGUGCUGUUAUAAAGUACAAACAGGAUGCUGGUUUUUAUGAUCGUUUAUAUCCAUUCAACCUGAUUUAAAUCAAUUAGAGUUCAUGGCAAAAUCCCAAAACCAAGAGCCUGGGCAAAGGAUGUUUCAAAUAUUCAUUGGAUAUCAAAACAAAAGCUAGGAUAUUGUUGUUUGUUAUUGUUAUCACUUUGCUCAAGGAUGCUUUGAUUUGAUGUCUUUUAAACCGGACUUGUGCAAACUUGUGCAAAUGGGUCAUUCUAUCUACAAAAAAAAUAAAAAUAAACACUUUUCACUUGACCGUCAAAUUUAAAUGAAAAAAGUGCCUUGGGAAAGACACAUUUUAACAGUUAUUAUGCAAAAUUUCAGGUCAUGAAUGACAUUAGUUUUCUGAGGAAAAAAAUACUUUAAUGGAUGUUGAUAGGAGCAUUUUUCUACCAUCCCACCAUUUGUUUGAGGGGCCAUUUUUAAAAAACGUUUAUUAUGCAAAGAACGCAAUAUUUUUUAAAGCACUCCAAAUCAGGAGAAUGAUUUCACAAAUAUUAUCUUGAAUAUGGGAAAGUGUGAUAUUCCCCAGGUAUGACACCAUGUAUCAAAUCCUUUUUAACUUUUAUAAAAGGUUUUUUUUAAUGAUAUUCUGGGAAUAUUAUAUCCAAAGUCUGUAAAUGCAACCUCUCUCAUUUUCACAUUAUUAAUAUAUUCAUUUUGAAAUUAUACAUCAAAAAUAAUGUGAGCAAAAAACAUAAAAUGAGCAAUGAGAGGCAAUUGGUCUAAGUCUCAAAACCCACACUGAUACUGCUGAAGUUACUUUAAUACUGUGAAAGAACCACAGGGUGUCCUUUAUAAAUGAGAUGUCAGGGCAGACACUGACAUAAGGUUACUAAAGAAUCCCCCAAAACUGCAAAGACAAAAAAAAAAACAACUGGUUGAGAAAACUGAAUGUUUUGUGUUGGUUCAAAGCUGUUUGUGAAGACACACAGCACACAAUAAUUG
ensembl:lncRNA